rnacentral:rRNA from 1 species
AGCAGCCGCGGUAAUUCCAGCUCCAAUAGCGUAUAUUAAAGUUGUUGCAGUUAAAAAGCUCGUAGUUGAAUUUCGGGGUUAGUAGGUUGGUCAUGCCUCUGGUAUGUACUGAUCUCACUGAUUCCUCCUUCCUUAUGAACCGUAAUGCCAUUAAUUUGGUGUUGCGGGGAAUUUGGACUGUUACUUUGAAAAAUUAGAGUGUUUAAAGCAGGCUAACGCUUGAAUACAUUAGCAUGGAAUAAUGAAAUAGGACGUUUGAUUCUAUUUUGUUGGUUUCUAGGAUCGACGUAAUGAUUAAUAGGGAUAGUUGGGGGCAUUAGUAUUCAAUUGUCAGAGGUGAAAUUCUUGGAUUUAUUGAAGACUAACUACUGCGAAAGCAUUUGCCAAGGAUGUUUUCAUUAAUCAAGAACGAAAGUUAGGGGAUCGAAGACGAUCAGAUACCGUCGUAGUCUUAACCAUAAACUAUGCCGACUAGGGAUCGGAUGAUGUUAAUUUUUAAUGUACUCAUUCGGCGCCUUAC